rnacentral:lncRNA from 1 species
CGAGUACAACUCCCUGGCAUGCACUAUUGAGAUUGUCGAUGAUGUCCAGGCUGCUAUUAAUCACAUACAUGAACAUGGAAGGCAUAAUUUCAAUUCUAUUCACUGUGUAAAUUAUGUUGGCACUGCGAGAUGAGUUUCGUGUCGUGAUGUUGUUUCCUCUUUGUCUGCAGUGCACAUACUGAUUGCAUCAUUGCAGAAGACCCUGAAGUAGCAGAGACUUUUUUACGACAAGUUGACAGGUAAAGGACACAUGUUUCAGUUGAGCUGACUUGAGUAUCAAAGUGUAGCUUCAGCCUCAAGUUACUAACAGCACUUAAACUGGUGAUCUUGAUUCUGUUCACAAAUGCAGUGCUGCUGUUUUCCACAAUGCAAGUACAAGAUUCUGCGAUGGAGCAAGAUUCGGACUUGGUGCAGAGGUAACUAAAACUCUUCUGUCAGUCUGUUUAACCACACCAUUACUUAAAAGUGUCCUGACCUGAAAGAUCCUUAUAACUGGAUUCUCCUUGAUGGGUGAUACAGGUGGGAAUCAGUACAAGUAGAAUCCACGCUCGAGGCCCCGUAGGAGUCGAAGGAUUGUUGACAACCCGAUGGUGAGAAGCCACUCAUAAUCGGUUUGACCCCACGAUCAUUUUAACAUGUUCCGGUUUUCUGAACAAGUUGCCACAUUUUCUCUUGUGCAGGAAACUGAGAGGCACUGGGCAAGUAGUGGAUGGUGAUAGGGGAGUGACCUACACCCACAAGGACAUAGCUGUAUAGGUUGCAGUCUGAGUCGAGAAAGGAGGCGCCUUUAACCACCAUCUAGAAGCAUGAGAAGUAAUCGGUCAACCUUUGCUUACGACCGUUGCUUGGGGUUUAAUAAACCAUGUUUAGGGUGCAUAUGUAAUAUGUUCUGUGACCUUUGUGUUACUCAAUAAGUUUCCAUAUCUUCAUUGUUGGAAGUGAAGGUUAUUUAUUUACCACCAUUUGUAAGUGUUUUUGGUUACGUCUGGUGCUGUUGGCCUCGGCCGCCAAAGGCUCAGAUAUCGCAAGUUAGUCAACAGCAGGUCUGUUCUCCGAAAAUUUGUAUUGUUUCACUUUACUGAUCUCUGAUGCAUUUUGGGAACAAUUUUUAACGUCAAAGAGGAAAAUAGCCAAGUAGAUGAUUUAUCAAUCUGUCGUUUUUACUUUUUAUUUGAAACGGGAAUAGUUUGUUUGGGGGAUAUACUGAUUUGGUACAUGGAAUCUGUUUAUUUUUCUGGUUAUGUAGCUUUGCUGAUCUCCAGAAGCCACCGGGUGAUCUGGACGGGAAGGGGUGUGCUGCUGUUGGACAGAACAGUAUCAUGGCCCUUUAUGACACCUUGUUCAGUCAGGUGAUUGAUUAUUCAUUUAGAUAUAUCCAUAUGAUAUGCAUCUCAUGUUCAGUAGCUGAUGAAGUUUCCCAUGGGGUCUUGUGUGCAGCUGGAUGUGACUUCUGCUCAGAUUCUCGUGACUGAUAAUGAUUUUAGGGAUAAAGAUCUCAGGACUCAACUUCAGCAGACUGUUGACUCGCUGCUCAACCUCAGGGUUGUCCCCAUUUUCAACGAGAAUGAUGCAGUCAGUACCCGGAAAGCCCCAUAUGAGGCAUGCAACCUUUUGCCUUCUUUCUCCAACUUGUUGUGUUACGUUUCUGUGGUUUUUAAUUUACUUUAAUCUGUUUUUAAUUUCACGAUUUGCACCCAACUUGAUAGUCUGACUAGUGAGCACCCUCUACAGGAUUCCUCUGGCAUCUUCUGGGACAAUGACAGCUUGGCUGCCUUGCUUGCAUUGGAGUUGAACGCUGAUCUUCUUGUUCUGCUGAGUGACGUGGACGGUCUUUACAGCGGUCCACCAAGUGAUCCAAAGUCAAAGUUGAUUCAUACAUACAUUAAGGAAGUGCAUCAAGGUGGAAUCACGUUUGGAGACAAGUCUAGGGUGGGAAGAGGCGGAAUGACAGCAAAAGUUAAGGCUGCUGUCAAUGCUGCUAAUGCAGGUGUUCCUGUUAUCAUAACCAGGUAUUCUUCUGUGCUGUAAAAAUACUUUUUCCUUGAUUCCUUCUAUGUUUGCCAGUGUUCUAACAUGUAAGAUAUUAUCUUUAACUGUUUCCCGUUUCUCUCAAUGUGUAAUGAUCUUUUGGUUGGCUAUUUUGAAGCGGAUUUGCUCUCCAGAACAUAAUUAAAGUCCUCCAUGGAGAUGAUAUUGGCACUCUCUUUCACCGGGAUGCUCACUCGUGGGUCAGAACGAAAGAAACGGGAGCCCGUGACAUGGCUGUUGCAGCAAGGGAGUGUUCUAGACGUCUGCAGGUACGGCUGUUUAUAUUGUUAAAAGUUAAAUUUUCUUUUGUUUUAUUUGUAUAAAAAAUAAUCUAGAGAGGGAACCUUCACAACUGUACAGUUCAAAAAUUUACUGGCUUGAUAAUGAGAUGACAUAAUGAAUUAAUGAUCAUGACCUCUUCCGCAGGCACUAUCCUCAGAAGAGAGGAACAAGAUAUUGCUGGAUAUAGCAGAUGCCCUCGAAGCCAAUGAAAAAGUAAUUAAGGUUGAGAAUGAUGCAGACCUUGCUGCUGCUGAGCAGGAAGGACUAGAAAGCUCCUUGUUAGCACGGUUGGCACUGAAGCCCGGGAAGGCAAGAUACCCUGGUGCUGUUGCUCUGUUAUGUCUUUAUUUCUUGUGACUGCUUCGGACAGUGUAACUGCUUUCUGGCUUUAUGACGUAGCAGCACUGCUGGCAAUGAUGAUAUCCAUUUCUAAUCUUGUUUAUGCUAACCUUCCAGAUUACAAGUCUUGCUAAAUCCUUGCGUGUCCUUGCAAACAUGGAAGAUCCAGUCGGCCAUGUAUUGAAGAAAACUGAAGUAAGAAUAUUACAGCUAUUAUUCUGUAUCUUUCUUCUCAUAUUCUGGAAACUUGGGUUCAAUCUGUCCAGGGUUUAUACUCUAGUAACAUAGCUAAUAUAAAUUUACACUGUUGAUGUUACAGCUUGCAGAUGGUCUUGUUUUAGAAAAGACAUCUUCUCCUCUAGGUGUUCUCCUGAUUGUGUUUGAGGCUCGGCCUGAUGCACUAGUGCAGGUGGGUUAAACCAUGGUCAGCAAACUUUGUCCUCCUAAAACCCGAGUCUAGUUGUUUACUAAUGUGUUGUUGUUGUUGUUGUUGUUGUAUUCCUUAUACAGAUAGCUUCAUUGGCUAUACGCAGUGGAAAUGGUCUCUUACUGAAAGGGGGGAAGGAGGCCAAGCGAUCGAAUGCAAUUUUGCAUAAGGUCUAGUUCAAUGUGAUCAUGUUGGAGAAAAUGCAAAUUCUUUUACUUCCUCUGAAGUUUGCUUCUAGAUAUGAAUUGUUUUACAUUUGUGCUGACUACUGAUGCUAUUCCUCCUCUUUUAUUAAUUUGUUCUAAAAUAAUAACAUGUAUAGGUAAUCACUGAUGCUAUUCCAAACAAUGUUGGGAGAAAGCUUAUUGGACUGGUGACCUCAAGAGAAGAAAUUCCUGACCUGCUUAAGGUGGGCAGCUGUUUGAUAUAUAUUCAAACGGAUGUAAAUUCAGACAAUGUCUGCUUAAAAUUUAAAAGGCCUGGACUGACGCUUCUUCUAUUCUUAUCAGCUUGAUGAUGUGAUCGAUCUUGUGAUUCCUAGAGGCAGCAAUAAGCUGGUUUCCACUAUCAAAGCAUCAACCAAAAUCCCUGUUCUGGGUCACGCAGGUUAGAUGAAUGACUAAUAUCAUAUCUCAUUGGCCACAUGUGGUUUUGUGACCUUACCAAACUUGAAAAACACAUUUUUUUCCUGCACAGAUGGAAUUUGUCAUAUAUAUGUCGACAAGUCUGCUAAAAUGGACAUGGCGAAGCGUAUUGUGAUAGAUGCGAAAGUGGAUUAUCCAGCUGCCUGUAAUGCAAUGGUAAUCUUGUCUUUUGUUUCAGUUGGUUCACUUGCUUGUUGCUAUUCCCUGAUAAACAAUGUGAAUUCAAUAUUUAUGUCUUAUCUCUCUUUGGUUUGCUGUGUUUAGGAAACUCUUCUGGUGCAUAAGGAUUUGCUUCCCACUCGUGCUCUAAAUGAGCUAAUAGUUGAUCUUGGAAGUGAAGGUAGGAUCCAAUUUGUCAUGUAAGUAACUAAGGCACAAGUUUACAGACCGGCUAUAAAAUGAGAUGUCUCUAUUUUAGGUGUGAUUGUAUAUGGCGGGCCAAGGGCAAGCAAGGAGCUGAACAUUCCGGAGACAGCAUCGUUCCAUCACGAGUACAACUCCCUGGCAUGCACUAUUGAGAUUGUCGAUGAUGUACAUGCUGCUAUUAAUCACAUACAUGAACAUGGAAGGCAUGAUUGCAAAUCUACUCACUGUGUAAAUUAUGUUGGCAUUGCGAUAUGAGUUUCGUUUCGUGAUGUUGUUUCCUCUUUCUCUGCAGUGCACAUACUGACUGCAUCAUUGCAGAAGACCCUGAAGUAGCAGAGACCUUUUUACGACAAGUUGACAGGUAAAGGACACAUGUUUCAGUUGAGCUGACUUGAGUAUCAAAGUGUAGCUUCAGCCUCAAGUUACUAACAGCACUUAAACUGGUGAUCUUGAUUCUGUUCACAAAUGCAGUGCUGCUGUUUUCCACAAUGCAAGUACAAGAUUCUGCGAUGGAGCAAGAUUUGGACUUGGAGCAGAGGUAACUAAAACUCUUUUGUCAGUCUGUUAAACCACACCAUUACGUAACGUGUUCAAACCUGAAAGAUCCUUAUAACUGGAUUAUGCUUGAUGGGUGAUACAGGUGGGAAUCAGUACAAGUAGAAUCCACGCUCGAGGCCCCGUAGGAGUCGAAGGAUUGUUGACAACCCGAUGGUGAGAAGCCACUCAUAAUCGGUUUAACCACACGAUCAUUUUAACAUGUUCCGGUUUUCUGAACAAGUUGCCACAUUUUCUCUUGUGCAGGAAACUGAGAGGCACUGGGCAAGUAGUGGAUGGUGAUAGGGGAGUGACCUACACCCACAAGGACAUAGCUGUAUAGGUUGCAGUCUGAGUCGAGAAAGGAGGCGCCUUUAACCACCAUCUAGAAGCAUGAGAAGUAAUCGGUCAACCUUUGCUUACGACCGUUGCUUGGGGUUUAAUAAACCAUGUUUAGGGUGCAUAUGUAAUAUGUUCUGUGACCUUUGUGUUACUGAAUAAGUUUCCAUAUCUUCAUUGUUGGAGGUGAAGUUAUUUAUUUGGGGCCUCUUCCGAUCCAUGACUAGUUGAUUUGGAACGUGAAGUGGUGGUCUUCUGAUUGGUCCCAGACCCUAGUUUAGAAAGCUGCUUAUAAUUAUUGUAAACUCCAUUUGUGGUAGGUACAUUUUCUGCCAGACUCCC